rnacentral:rRNA from 1 species
GAUGAACGCUGGCGGCGUGCUUAACACAUGCAAGUCGAACGAUGAAGCCCAGCUUGCUGGGUGGAUUAGUGGCGAACGGGUGAGUAACACGUGAGUAACCUGCCCUUGACUCUGGGAUAAGCCUGGGAAACUGGGUCUAAUACUGGAUAUGACUUCUCAUCGCAUGGUGGGGGGUGGAAAGAUUUAUUGGUCUUGGAUGGACUCGCGGCCUAUCAGCUUGUUGGUGAGGUAAUGGCUCACCAAGGCGACGACGGGUAGCCGGCCUGAGAGGGUGACCGGCCACACUGGGACUGAGACACGGCCCAGACUCCUACGGGAGGCAGCAGUGGGGAAUAUUGCACAAUGGGCGCAAGCCUGAUGCAGCGACGCCGCGUGAGGGAUGACGGCCCUCGGGUUGUAAACCUCUUUCAGUAGGGAAGAAGCGAGAGUGACGGCACCUGCAGAAGAAGCGCCGGCUAACUACGUG